rnacentral:pre_miRNA from 10 species
UAUUAGGUUGGUCCAAAAGUAAUUACAGUUUUUGUCUUUGAAAGUAAUGUCAAAAACUGUGAUUACUUUUGCACCAACCUAAUA